rnacentral:rRNA from 1 species
AACGAACGCUGGCGGCAGGCCUAAUGCAUGCAAGUCGAACGAACCUUCGGGUUAGUGGCGCACGGGUGCGUAACGCGUGGGAAUGUACACCUUGGUAAGGAAUAACUGCUGGAAACGGUAGCUAAUGCCUUAUAAUGACUCCGGUCCAAAGAUUUAUCGCCAAGGAAUCAGCCCGCGUUAGAUUGGCUAGUUGGUGAGGUAAUGGCUCACCAAGGCGACGAUCUAUAGGGGGUCUGAGAGGAUGAUCCCCCACACUGGAACUGAGACACGGUCCAGACUCCUACGGGAGGCAGCAGUAAGGAAUAUUGGACAAUGGGGGCAACCCUGAUCCAGCCAUGCCGCGUGUGUGAAGAAGGCCUUAGGGUUGUAAAGCACUUUCAAACGUGAAGAUAAUGACGGUAGCGUUAGAAGGAGCUCCGGCUAAAUUCGUGCCAGCCGCCGCCGUAA